ACUACUUUUCUAUUUUUCUGUACUAUGAGAAAUAAUUGAAAAUGGCCGACCACCUCUUCUUCCCUCUUUUUCUCUCUCCCAGCAUCUGAUGUGAAGUAAUAGCCUCUUAAUUCCAGAUUUUACUUAUUUGAGAAAGAGAGAGCAUGAAAGAGAGAGAGCACAAGCAGAGGAGAGGAGUAGAGAGAAGCCUGACUCCUUGCCAAGGAGGAAGACUGAUGCAAGACUCAAUCCAGGACCUUGGGAUUAUGACCUCAGCUGAAGGCAAACCCUUAAAACACUGAGCCACCCAGGUGGCCUAUGAUCUUCAUUCUCGAACAUAAGUUUAUAUGAGGAGUACUAGGUUUUCUAUGUUACAUCCUGAUAGGGUUUCCUUGUUGAUGCCACAGGCAAGGCCAUGGUGCUGUAGAUUUUGAAGCAGGAUCUCCUGUCAGAGGGAUUUUAUGACAACAGAGCGUUUUAGACCACUUGAGGCACUUCUGAAUUAUACAGUCAGACAAAAAUAGGUCCUUAGCUUCUGAGACUUCAAGGCUAAGAAUGGACUCUUUUGUUAUCUGUAUUUUGCUGUGUCAUCCUUCCCCUGGAGCAGAGAAGAUGCAGUGCCUUGGCUGUCCUGGCUGAGGGAAGGUCAGAGGGAACAAAGGAACAAUAGAGGAAAAACCCUAUUAUCAUCUCAAAAUUUUAUUCAGUCAUAAAUGCUCGUGCUGUCUUUGUCAACUCUACUCAGAUCUCCACUACCAUUGUUGGGAGGCAUCCUAUAAUUUUCCAGUACUGUAUAGUUAGCUGGUAGAUAUAUUUAGUAUAUUUAUGAAAUAGCUAAUUAAAUCAUUUGGUGUAUCAGCUCUACGUAUUAAAACUCUUUUUGCUGAGUGAAGUAAGUCAGUCGGAGAAGGACAAACAUUAUAUGUUCUCAUUCAUUUGGGGAAUAUAAAUAAUAGUGGAAGGGAAUAUAAGGGAAGGGAGAAGAAAUGUGUGGGAAAUAUCAGA